rnacentral:rRNA from 1 species
GUAAGAGAAGAUAAGAAUAGUGGUAUCCUGAGUAGGUCGGGGCACGUGAAACCUUGAUUGAAACUGGCGGGACCAUCCGCUAAGGCUAAAUACUCCUGAGAGACCGAUAGUGAACCAGUACCGUGAGGGAAAGGUGAAAAGAACCGUGAAUAACGGAGUGAAACAGAUCCUGAAACCAUACGCCUACAAGCGGUCGGAGCCCCUUAGUGGGGUGACGGCGUGCCUUUUGCAUAAUGAGCCUACGAGUUACCGUUGCUGGCAAGGAUAAGUGAUUAAGUCAUGGAUCCGUAGCGAAAGCGAGUCUUAAUAGGGCGCUUAAGUCAGUAGUGGUAGACGCGAAACCGUGUGAUCUACCCAUGGGCAGGUUGAAGUUUAGGUAACACUAAAUGGAGGACCGAACCGUUUAACGCUGAAAAGUUUUCGGAUGACCUGUGGGUAGGGGUGAAAGGCCAAUCAAACUCGGAAAUAGCUCGUACUCCCCGAAAUGCAUUUAGGUGCAGCGAUGAUCGAUAGUUACUUAGAGGUAGAGCUACUGAUUGGAUGCGGGGGCUUCACCGCCUACCAAUUCCUGACAAACUCCGAAUGCUAAGUAAUGAUAAUCAUCAGUGAGGGCAUGGGUGCUAAGGUCCAUGUCCGAGAGGGAAAGAACCCAGACCAUCAGCUAAGGUCCCCAAAUGUAUGCUAAGUUGAAAAAACGCGGUUUGAUUGCCCAGACAGCUAGGAUGUUGGCUUGGAAGCAGCCAUUCAUUUAAAGAGUGCGUAACAGCUCACUAGUCGAGCGAUCGAGCAUGGAUAAUAAUCGGGCAUAAGUAUACUACCGAAGCUAUGGAUUUGCGCAUUUAGUUGCGUGAGUGGUAGGGGAGCAUUCUAACGGCGCAGAAGGUGAUUUGUGAGAAUUGCUGGAGCUUUUAGAAAAGAAAAUGUAGGCAUAAGUAACGAUAAGGGGUGCGAGAAACACCCCCGCCGUAAGACUAAGGUUUCCUCAGCUAUGCUAAUCAGCUGAGGGUUAGUCGGGACCUAAGGCACACCCGAAGGGGGACGUCGAUGGCCAACGGGUUAAUAUUCCCGUACUACUAAUAAUUGUGAUGGAGUGACACAGUGAUGAAAGCACCGCGAACUGACGGAAUAGUUCGUUGAAGCACGUACCUAUAGGUUUGAUAGUAAAAUGCGUCAGACUUGGAGAAAUGCGAUAGUACUUUGAGUCUUCGGACAACGAGAUAGUGUGCCUAAGGGCUGUCAAGAAAAGCUUCUAAACUUAGAUUAUUAGUACCCGUACCGUAAACCGACACAGGUAGUCGAGGAGAGUAUCCUAAGGCGCUCGAGAGAUUCAUGGCUAAGGAACUAGGCAAAAUAGACCUGUAACUUCGGGAGAAAGGUCGCCAGCGCAAGCUGGCCGCAGUGAAAAGGUCCAGGCGACUGUUUAUCAAAAACACAGGGCUCUGCAAAAUCGUAAGAUGACGUAUAGGGCCUGACACCUGCCCGGUGCUGGAAGGUUAAGAGGAGAUGUUAUC